AACAAACGCUGGCGGCGUGCCUAAUACAUGCAAGUCGAACGGGGAAGUACCUUCGGGUAUUGUACUAGUGGCGCACGGGUGAGGAACGCGUGGAUAAUCUGCCUUCAGGUGGGGAAUAACUAGUCGAAAGAUUAGCUAAUACCGCAUAAGACCACAAUGACUACGGUCAAAGAGGUUAAAAGCUUCGGUUGCCUGGAGAUGAGUCCGCGCCCGAUUAGCUUGUUGGUGGGGUAAAAGCCUACCAAGGCGACGAUCGGUAGCUGGUCUGAGAGGAUGACCAGCCACACUGGGACUGAGACACGGCCCAG
rnacentral:rRNA from 1 species